UUGCACGCUGGCGGCAGGCCUAACACAUGCAAGUCGAACGGUAACAGGAAGCAGCUUGCUGCUUCGCUGACGAGUGGCGGACGGGUGAGUAAUGUCUGGGAAACUGCCUGAUGGAGGGGGAUAACUACUGGAAACGGUAGCUAAUACCGCAUAACGUCGCAAGACCAAAGAGGGGGACCUUAGGGCCUCUUGCCAUCGGAUGUGCCCAGAUGGGAUUAGCUAGUAGGUGGGGUAACGGCUCACCUAGGCGACGAUCCCUAGCUGGUCUGAGAGGAUGACCAGCCACACUGGAACUGAGACACGGUCCAGACUCCUACGGGAGGCAGCAGUGGGGAAUAUUGCACAAUGGGCGCAAGCCUGAUGCAGCCAUGCCGCGUGUAUGAAGAAGGCCUUCGGGUUGUAAAGUACUUUCAGCGGGGAGGAAGGGAGUAAAGUUAAUACCUUUGCUCAUUGACGUUACCCGCAGAAGAAGCACCGGCUAACUCCGUG
rnacentral:rRNA from 1 species